rnacentral:rRNA from 1 species
CUUGACAUCCUGCGAACUUUCUAGAGAUAGAUUGGUGCCUUCGGGAACGCAGUGACAGGUGCUGCACGGCUGUCGUCAGCUCGUGUUGUGAAAUGUUGGGUUAAGUCCCGCAACGAGCGCAACCCCUAUUGAUAGUUACCAUCAUUAAGUUGGGUACUCUAUUAAGACUGCCGCUGACAAGGCGGAGGAAGGUGGGGACGACGUCAAGUCAUCAUGGCCCUUACGACCAGGGCUACACACGUGCUACAAUGGGUAUUACAGAGGGCUGCGAAGGUGCGAGCUGGAGCGAAACUCAAAAAGGUACUCUUAGUCCGGAUUGCAGUCUGCAACUCGACUGCAUGAAGUCGGAAUCGCUAGUAAUCGCAGGUCAGAAUACUGCGGUGAAUACGUUCCCGGGUCUUGUACACACCGCCCGUCACACCAUGGGAGUGGGUUGCUCCAGAAGUAGAUAGCUUAACGAAUGGGCGUUUACCACGGAGUGAUUCAUGACUGGGGUGAAGUCGUAACAAGGUAGCCGUAGGGGAACCUGCGGCUGGAUCACCUCCUUAA